CCAGAAUGCCCCACCACCAUCUGCAAUCAUUCUGGUAGUAUAUAGCAUAAUUUUCUGUAAAAAUAUGGAAGUGGUUUACCAUUGCAUCCUUCCAUGCAGUUAACUUGUGUCGCCACCCUCAAUUCUCUCCCAUGCUGCUGCUGCCCAGCACAGUGCCUUGGAGCAGAAUGUCAUUUACAUGUGGAUGUUUGUUAAGUACCACAGACAAGAAGGUGACCAUGACCUUCGAGAGACUGGCAGAAUGUGGCAACAACAAAACAUCGAACUUCAGACCA